rnacentral:tRNA from 1 species
UGAAGGAUAGUGUAAAUACAACCUUAGCACAUAUAAAUUUGGGUUAUAAAGAGGAAUGAACCAUUCCGCCUUCAA